rnacentral:lncRNA from 1 species
AACAAAAAGCCUGUUGGUCUUGGUGGCAUUGUACAAACAGGACUGGAUAAUUUUCUGUUAUGAAUUCGUUCCUAUCUCUUCAUGUGGGUCUGGGAAAUGUGUCUGGAGGGCAUUUUCCUCCCUGGUUGGAGGUGACUUACCAGACUGGCAAUUACUGUCAUUACAAGCCCAAUCACAGAGCUGGGAGACCAAGGUGAUUGCUCACUCCUAAGCAGCAUGGGACAAGUGGGAGCAGUUGAGACCACACUGAGAGGCCAGGGAACUGCAGACAAGUAAUCUGCUGGGGAAAAAGGCCCCUUUGAUCUUCAUACCAGACAGCAAUUUCAGCAGAAGCAGAGUCGAGAGACCAAGGCCCAGGAAGGAGGAGGAACUUGAAUGAAGUGCAGAAUCCAGGUGUUCUGACUCAUGGUUCAAGUCACUGUCUGCUACUUCAGGCGUCCACAGUUGGCAAUAAUCUUAAUCGCCUGGCCUGUGGAACUGCUUACUCCAGGUCUUGUUAUGGAUCUCAGGAGGUCUCACAUUCAGGCUGCCUGGAAGAGCAUUCCUUCUGCUUGUUCACAGCCAAGCUCUCUGAGCCUGAGCCCUCUCUGCCAUGAAGUCUUCUGUGGNNNNNNNNNNNNNGAAGUUGUUGUUACCAAUGAGAGCUAAGUGAUUGUUUACCUAAGAAGGAUUUAAAAAUUGGAAGUGAUUUCCUUCCUCUAGACCUAGAGAAAAUAUGAAAGCUAUUUGAGCGUCUGUGUUGCGUUGGAGGGUGAUGAAGCUUCCUUUGAGUAAAUCUUUUAAUUGGAACUUUGGGCAAAU